rnacentral:rRNA from 1 species
GGGAUUGCCUCAGUAGCGGCGAGUGAAGCGGCAACAGCUCAGAUUUGAAAUCGUGUUUCGGCACGAGUUGUAAAUUGCAGGUUGGAGUCUUUGUGUGAAGUGCGUGUCCAAGUCCCUUGGAACAGGGCGCCAUGGAGGGUGAGAGCCCCGUUGGAUGCGCAUUGAAGCUGUAAGGCCCUUCUGACGAGUCGAGUUGUUUGGGAAU